AAUUUCCUGCAGUGUACGACCCUUACCGAUUACCUAAAGGCCCGGACCGUUGAUACGUUAUUGGGAGCUAAGCGAAUCGUUGGCUGUCACGCCUUCGCUGGAAGGCAAAAGUCGAUGAGCGGCACCCACCCUGUUGAGAGACGGGAACGUGAGCCUCAACAUCGGAGACGGCACAGGUGGGAGUUAU
rnacentral:sRNA from 1 species